GCAAGCUUACAUGUUUUGUUGAUAAGAUGGAACGCGUUUACAAUCUGGUGCUAAUUAACUGGUAAUCAUCGACUGAACUAAUUGAGACUGUCAAGCACGUGCUUCCGAUUUCUAUUAUUCCUAGAUUCCCUGAAUCACGCGACUUAAAAAUAGGAUAAACUGUCAAACACUUAAAUUGGAACUUUCAUGACAUGCUCCAUGUUUUUAAAAAGAUCAUAAAUGGCAUUGAUCUUUAACCUGAAAGUCAAGCACAUAAGGGCGAAAUCUACUGACCUUCCAAAAUACCGAAAUCGCCAAUUUCAUAACCCGAAGAAUUCAUCGUAGUCAGGUAACUCUUCGCCAGUGUUAUCUUUCCUCUGUCUCCCACCCCCCGGUUGAAUAACUGUUGGUGGAAGAAGAAGGAGGGCCAACCUGCCUAAAUUGACUUUCAAUUUGUUGUGUCUUUUUUCCUCUUUUCCUCCUUUAGACCUGAUCAUGAAGUGCACGGCAGUCCGUUAUUGGGUGGUGAUUUACAAGAUAUCAAAGAACCUAAUAUCGUGGUAGCGUUUGGCUGUUGCCCUCAAUCGAGUGUCUUUGAGUGUGAACAGGAGAAGAAUGGUUUCUUUGCCAAACACCUUCUUAAGAAUAUCACAGAUGAACACAGAAACAAAUCCAUCGAAGAAGUUCUGCUAGAAGUUAGUCGCGGAAUACACGAAGAAAAUCUGAAAGACCCUUACACAGAUCAAAAGCAAGUUGUAAAUAGAAUAACCACUUUAGUCAAACCCAUGAGUCUUUGGAGCCCAGUGAAUAGCAGUUCAAUGAAUCCUUCUGCCGUAGAAGCAACUGCAAGAUGGCAAACUGCUCAUGGUAAGCUGAAAAUGAGAGCACUUAGUUGCUUAUCAACUUGAAGUUUACAAAGGUUUUAAUACUGACCGCCAUAGCCUCAACUUCCAGUUGAUGAUCAACUAAUUAGUCUUUUACUCGCACGUUGACGCAGUGCAACAGUUUCUUUAGAAACUAAUCACUCCCUAAUGACUCUCGUGAAACCAAAAGCAAAGUUUUUAGAGCAGUUUUCGCUUGAAUGUCGAAUGUAACUUUCAUUUGCGUUGGUUUGCAUUACUACGCUACGCAAUUG